rnacentral:rRNA from 1 species
GUCGAGCGAACGGACGAGAAGCUUGCUUCUCUGAUGUUAGCGGCGGACGGGUGAGUAACACGUGGAUAACCUACCUAUAAGACUGGGAUAACUUCGGGAAACCGGAGCUAAUACCGGAUAAUAUUUUGAACCGCAUGGUUCAAAAGUGAAAGACGGCCUUGCUGUCACUUAUAGAUGGAUCCGCGCUGCAUUAGCUAGUUGGUAAGGUAACGGCUUACCAAGGCAACGAUGCAUAGCCGACCUGAGAGGGUGAUCGGCCACACUGGAACUGAGACACGGUCCAGACUCCUACGGGAGGCAGCAGUAGGGAAUCUUCCGCAAUGGGCGAAAGCCUGACGGAGCAACGCCGCGUGAGUGAUGAAGGUCUUCGGAUCGUAAAACUCUGUUAUUAGGGAAGAACAUAUGUGUAAGUAAUUGUGCACAUCUUGACGGUACCUAAUCAGAAAGCCACGGCUAACUACGUGCCAGCAGCCGCGGUAAUACGUAGGUGGCAAGCGUUAUCCGGAAUUAUUGGGCGUAAAGCGCGCGUAGGCGGUUUUUUAAGUCUGAUGUGAAAGCCCACGGCUCAACCGUGGAGGGUCAUUGGAAACUGGAAAACUUGAGUGCAGAAGAGGAAAGUGGAAUUCCAUGUGUAGCGGUGAAAUGCGCAGAGAUAUGGAGGAACACCAGUGGCGAAGGCGACUUUCUGGUCUGUAACUGACGCU